rnacentral:misc_RNA from 1 species
GGGUGGUGGCUUUGGUGGCGGAGGAGGUGCAGGUGGAGGAGGUGGUUUUGGAGGUGGAGCCGGUGGAGGUGGUGGUUUUGGAGGCGGAGCCGGUGGAGGUGGUGGCUUUGGUGGCGGAGCUGGUGGGGGUGGUGGCUUUGGUGGCGGAGCUGGUGGGGGUGGUGGCUUUGGUGGCGGAGCUGGUGGGGGUGGUGGCUUUGGUGGCGGAGCUGGUGG